AUGGGUGGGAUAGCUC
rnacentral:tRNA from 1 species